rnacentral:rRNA from 1 species
GCUUCUCGAACUAUAAUAAAUGAGAAGUCGUGCCUGCUCUAUGAUUUAACUAAUUUAAUGGCCGCGGUACCCUGACCGUGCGAAGGUAGCAUAAUCAUUUGUCUUUUAAUUGAAGACUGGAAUGAAUGGCUUGACGAGAAUUUAGCUGUCUCUUAUAUUCUACUAUAAAUUAAUUUUUGUGUGAAGAAGCACAAAUUAAUAAAAGGGACGAGAAGACCCUAUUGAGUUUUAAUUCUCAUAUUAGUAGCAUUUUAUAUUAACAUAUAAAUUAUACUGAUAUAAAUUUUAGUUGGGGCAACUGAGGAGUAACAAAAUAAUCUCCUUAUUAUACACCAAAAUGAUAAUUAGAUGAUCCUUUUAUAAAGAUUAAUAAAUAUAAUUACCAUAGGGAUAACAGCGUAAUCCCCCCUAAGAGUUCUAAUUGAAGGGGGGGGUUGCGACCUCGAUGUUGGAUUAAGGAAUCACAAGGGUGUAGAAGCUCUUAUGGUAAGUCUGUUCGACUUUUUAAACCUUACA